CGGGGACUAGGUCAUCGGUAGACCGCUCGCUUCGGGUGCGAGAGGCAGGGAGUUCAAUUCUCCCGUCCCCGA
rnacentral:tRNA from 1 species